CACAAGGUGGAUUACUUCCGUACAAUAAAAGAAUUAAAGUGAUCCUCUUUGGGCAAAUACUACUGAUAUAGUGACACCUGGCAACAAUGGAAAACAUUUAUGACCAAUCACACACACCUGGACGACUAACAGUACCCCCCACUCCCCGGACCUAAGGUUGACUAAAGAUUACGACAUUCACAGUUGCAAGACACUACCCAAUAUCAGCUAAGCCUCAAAUUUCAGUACCCAGCCGUAUUUACAUGCAGUCGGAUUCACGUUACUCAAUUUCCUAUAAUUUCUACAUUGGAAUACAAGGAGUAGCUACUAUACG